CCUACGGGAGGCAGCAGUGAGGAAUAUUGGUCAAUGGCCGUAAGGCUGAACCAGCCAAGUAGCGUGAGGGAAGACUGCCCUAUGGGUUGUAAACCUCUUUUAUGCGGGGAUAAAGGUGUCCACGUGUGGCUGUUUGCAUGUACCGUAUGAAUAAGGAUCGGCUAAUUCCGUGCCAGCAGCCGCGGUAAUACGGAGGGUCCGGGCGUUAUCCGGAUUUAUUGGGUUUAAAGGGAGCGUAGGCCGGUCUUUAAGCGUGCCGUGAAAUUUUAUGGAUCAACCAUGAGAGUGCGGGGGGAACUGGAGACCUUGAGUACGCGGGAGGCAGGCGGAAUGCGUGGUGUAGCGGUGAAAUGCUUAGAUAUCACGAAGAACCCCGAGUGCGAAGGCAGCCUACCGCAGCGUUACUGACGCUGAGGCUCGAAAGCGCGGGUAUCGAACAGGAUUAGAUACACUAGUAGUC
rnacentral:rRNA from 1 species